CCCUGCCCUGACUUCCCUCUGAUAAAUUGUUACCUCGAAAUGUAAAAUGGCAUGAAUCUUCUCUUCUCAAAGUUUCAUUUGAGCUUAGUGUUCAUCAUGCAAUAGAAAAGCAAACUAGAACAUGAACGAGGUAGAACCUCAUACAAGGUAUUAGGAGGUAGAGGUAGAAGGAGCUUGAGGACUAGCUGCAAACAGCCUUGAAUACAUAGAUUCUGUCUCCAGUGAGCGGGUAAGGCAGGGAGAAUGGGUUUCUGAGCAAUGGAAGGGCAUAAUAAAAAUGGUAUUAAUCCUCUGGGGUUUUUUGGUUUUGUUUUUGUUUUUUUUAGAUACAUUCAUUUGAUCUAUCUUUGGUUCACUGCUCCUUUAUAACCUCCACAGGGUUAAGCUCUUUUCUUUUUAGUUCUAGAGUUUCCUUUAGAAAAGAAUCUCACUUUCUUUGCUGAAGCUCCCCAUCUGCUCUCUGACUGGGUUCAGAUUUUCCUUUAAAUCCUUGCGCAUACUGAAAAUCAGCUGUUCCCAAGUCUUGGUUACUUCCAACAAGGGUUUCCUUUAAACUGUGUCUAUCAACUAUUUUUAAAAUUAUUAUUUUGAGGGGGGGGGUCACAUUUUUCUACUUCAUGUAGCUGGAAUGUUUUCUUGUACAUAACAUUAUAAAGAUAUGCUAUAGAGAAUCUAAAGACAAGAGUUAUAUUCUGGCAGUUGUUAAAUUACUGGAAGGUUCUGUUGACCCUGUAGGCCUUGACUUUCUCUGUCAGGGUUGGACUGUUGAAGUCACCGCCUUUAGCCCUAAGAAUUGGACUGAUUUUCUUUCCUAAGUUAUGACCUUUCAGAGGCCCCAGCUGACGCACUCCUCCAACAAUGCCACACCUCCUAAUCCUUCCCAAACAGUUCCACCAACUGGAAGCGAGUGUUCAAACACAAAUACAACAGCUCAAUAAUAGAGCAUCUGCUUCUCACCCCCUCGGCUUCCUGGUGCCACAAGAAAACAAGUAACAGAGGUCCUUGUUUGGUCAUUUGGUAACUGUGCUCUUGAAGACUAACCUAUCUGUGUGUGGUUAUCUCAUCAGUAAAUGUCACUGUCUCAAGCCUAGCCCAGAGUGUCUGGAAUAUAAGAGUGCUAAGAAAUGCUCAGUAGCAUAAUAUUUAUUUUCCAAUUGUAGAACAAUGGAAAAUAAAUAUCGAAAAAGGAAAUAAAAUUGCAACCCCAUUAUGCAUUUUGUUUCAGGGUUUUCUUUGUUCAAAUACAUUUUAAGAAAAGAUUAGGUAGCUUUAUAUACAGAGCAUGUCGUUUGCUUUGUCAUUCCCCGGAGCAGGGGCUCUCAACCUUCCUAAUGCUAAAACCCCUUAAUACAGUGCCUCAUGUGUGGUGACCCUCAAUCAUAACAUUAUUUUCAUUGCUACUUCAUAACUGUAAUUUUGCUGCUGUUAUGAAUCAUAAUGUAAAUAUCUGCCAUGCAGGAUAUUUGAUAUGCAAACCCCCCCCAAAGGGGGUCUCGACUCACAGGUUGAGAAACCCUGCCUUAGAGCCUUGGUUACCAUUAAAUGACAUUCUUUUUAAUGGUUCAAAGAAUGUCAUUAUAUUGGUGAAUAACAAAUCAAUUCAUUCUCUAAUAUUCGACUUUCAUAUUGGUUCUGCUUUUCACUAUUACACGGUCGCAACAAACAUCUCUGUCUGUGGGAUAGGAUCCUUCCUGUAACCUGUGAAAGGAGGAAUUACGGAGCUAAAGGGCACGCGAUUAAAACGUGAGAUGUGAGAAGGACACCCUUGGGCGUCAUUUAAAACCUGAAGUGAAUUUGCAUCAUCUGGAUAGGCAGGUUCUGAUUUCUAUCUGUUCUGGGAAGCCAGACCAACACACGAGCCCAGAUACUUCUGUAAUUGUUUAAUUGAGUAGAAUUUCCCUGUGUUAAACUUCAUUGGGCUCAGCCACCUUCAUCUUCUGGGCUAUUAAAACAUGCUAAAAACAAACAAGCAAACAAACACCUUUGACUUCUUAUUCCUUUUCCGUCCUCUUCUCCAUCCUGAACUUGUGUAAUUGGGAUCUCAAAUCUGUGAGGCCCAACAGAGAGGACAGCUUGUUAACAAACCGAGCAGUCUCUACAGUUCCUUGGGUCUCAGUUUCCCCCGAGUUUGCAAACUAUACCCAUGGGAUUCCUUAGUGGCCUCUAGGUGGCUGUUUUCCAUCAGCUCUGUGACAGGGCAAAGCCCUUGCGCGCGGGCGCGGCUGUUUGAAAGCAGAGUCAACCCUUUUGAACUUGCCCGUGAAAGCCACAGGUCUUAGUCACGGGGUUAGGAACUCACCGGAGUGAGGCAGGUAUCCACUGAGUUCAUCUGAUUCACUGUUUUCAUUUCUAAUGACUGUCUUCAGAGGGCUCGACGGCCUGGCUUGCUUGGUGCCCCAGCAGGCUAGAUUGCUCGAGGUAGACUGCGCUGGCUUGUGUCCUCUGUCCCGCCCAUUCUUUUCAGGCUUCCUUCUCUAAAACUUAGGCUCUCAGCCUCUCAUCUACAUCCACACACCUGGAUAAACUUAGGUUAAGCUGCCGAAUCCUCGGGUACUUCCAACUGCAGUUGAGGUGUAAUUGCUGGAGCAUUAUAAACCAUUUGAUGUCCAAACUCUGUCACCCAGCCUACUACAGAAGGCUGGCGGAGGGGGUGGGGGGUGAGGGGCUGAUCCCGAAGAUCCUUGCCUUUCAGUGUAUCCGAGUUGUUCUGAAGGGUAUUUGUUUUCCCCUCGACUCCUCUAAUUGACGCAGCUGUUGCCCAGCCUCAUCUGCAUCAAGCUAAAUAUUAUGUCUUUGUAACGUUUUUUUUGAUCUUCAUUAAUUAUAGCUCAGGAAGGCUGACAAAGGCAACCUGCCUCUUUAAUAUAAACAAGAUUAAUUGCACGGUUCCUGCAGAAAAUGAAGUACCAGCAGUUUAACAAAAAAAAAAAGUUUGUCUUUAAGCAGCCUUUGGAUAAAAAAAAAAAAUUAAAACAGUUACAGGAAGUGCCGAAGCUGCCAAAUUACCAUGCCCGCGAGCCUAGCCCUCAUUAUCAGACUAAAUGAACGCACACACCCCUGCACUUUCAUCCUGCUCCAGGCCCAAGGACAAGAAAGGCGGGAUUGAGAAAAAAAAGUGGGGGGUGGGUCUUUAUUCAAAGAAGUGUCUCUGAAGUUUGGAAUGCACCCUGGUGUUUGAAGGCGAGAUUUAUACCUGACACCUUUCCUUAAGCUCAUUGUUGAGACUCGCCUGUUUUCACAUCAACCGCAGACUGCUGCUGGAGCUGUUUCAGCUCCU
rnacentral:lncRNA from 1 species